AAAGUGAAGCUAACAGGAAGGCACCAAACAUAAGGAAGACUUUCCAGAACUUGUUACAGUUCAAGCUGCUGUAGCCUUGCAAAGAAAAAAUAUGUGAGAUAGAAUUACCAUCAGUUAAUAAUUUGUUUAAGUAAAAUUUGUACUUAAAUAUUAGAGUGCAGAACAAAAUGAAGAACACCCUGUUUUAUUGAAUGGAAGUGCAGAUAUUGUAAUUUGCUUUACCUGUUUCAGACAUAGUAUGUGAGUAUGCACAAAAGCUAUUCUUUGGUUUUAUUUUAACAAACUUUAACAGUGAAGCAGUACUUCUAUUGCAACAGUUUAUAUAUAUGUUACAAUUGGAAUUUUACAUAUUAAAUCAGAUUCCAAAUGCCUAUGAUUCAGACAGUCUUGAUCAUAAUGAAAGUGACUGCAGUAGCAUGUAUCUUGAUCAGUAUGAUCUCAAAGCAUCAAUAUUAUACUUAAACAUUGCAUCAUCAUCACUGCUACUCAAACCACUAAUUCCUUUAAACCACUAAUGAAUCCUCUGCUGAAUCACAGAUGAUAAUUAGAGAGACAUUUUAAACUGACAAACUUACAGUAGAUGCAAACAAUAAAGUUUAAAUUUUAACAGGGGAAAAAUUGAAAAUUAUAUUCUAAAUGUAUCAUAAUAGCUGAUUUUUAUUUUCUUUUAAAAUUAAGUUAUAUUCUUGUCAUGGCAUCUUGUUGGUUGGACUUGCAAGUAAGAAUUUCACUGUACUGUGUAUAUGCGAAAAUUCUAUUAUUGCUAACAAUAUUAAUGACUAAGGGAAGUAAAAUAAAGUGCUGUUUGGUAAGCAUGUUUGAAAUUAACUGAUACAUGCAGCAUAUUUUAGUGGUAAAAAACAGCUGGCUCAGUAGCAUAUUUUUGAUAGCUAGGCUUGACCUCUUCCUUUGCUGCAUGUUUAAUGCCCAAAGAACCACCAAAACAGUAAACAAUCUUAAUAGCUUAGCUUCAGGCCAGUAAUGAUGUAUUAAGCAGCACUAGCCAUUUGAUAGUGCUAAUACAUGAGCUACACUUACAUCAUGUGAUGCAUUCAGCAAAAAAUGAUAUAAGAGAGUGUUUUCACCCACUGUCUUAUGCUAAUCUUUGAUUUAAACAUUUUUUUACAGAAAACCAGAAUAGUGGCACAGUGAUCUUUUACCUUUAGGAAAUAGGCUUUGGUUUCUGAUCUAGCCAAUGUCCAUCUGUUAAGCUGGCAGUUUUCCCUCUAGUGUUUGUGCUUUUGUGGUUUUAGCAGGGUUUUUAUGUUUCCCUUAUGUUAAAGACAUGGAUUCUAGGUUAAUGAAAUACAUUAAAUUGUCUUCGUGUUAGGAAGGAGUUCCCUGUUUUUACAAAGUUUCUGUCAUCCUUAUCCAGAGUAUGUGUCUUUAAUUUUACAUGACACUUAACUUUUAUGUUACAGUCACUUCCAGUCUUUGGAUGUGAAUCCUAUAAAGCCACUGUAAGAUGCUGUAUUUUGCAAAAUACACGUUGUACACUUUGUAUAUUAAAAAUAUCAGGACAGUGUAACUUUUUGUCUUUACUGUAUUUUAACAUGUUUCUUCCAAUUGUUCCAAGGUGCUUGGUAACUUUUUUAUGGAAGUAUUUUUUUUUUCAUUUCUGUGGUCUGUAUGAUCGGUUUCACCUUGUUAAACUAGUCUUUGUCAUAGACAUGUCCCACUGCAAAAAAUGUUUUGGUUUUGGGCUAAACAGAGUAUAAUGACAGUAUAUUAUACUAUAUACAGUAUAUUUUAGAAUAGCAUAGUUGAAACUAUUACUAACUUUUGUUGGUUUUUCAACUCUAAAGAAACUGUUGUACUGAAAAAUUUUGUGAAUCUCGCAUCUCACUUUUACAUUUCUUUUGUAUAUAUUACAUGGCUGUCUAAUAUGUGGUAUAGUAUUAGUUUUGAUUUCAUUUUUGAAAAUUGUGACAUACUUGUUUUUAAAAAAGACUUAAAUGUUAAACAUCGUUUUCAAAUUCUAGCACAUUUUUAAGGAAGGUUCCUUAGCCACAAUUGCGUCUCAAAAUGUAAACUUAAAUGAUGAAAAGUAUAAGCAGGGACAUGCAUUUGUGUUUUUGUUAAACAUAACACAUGGUCAAGCUUUAUUUUGCUGCCAUAAGCACAUUAUAAAUGUAUCUUGCAUAACCAACAAUAUUCCUCUAAGAAAAAGUCUGCAGUAAGGUUGCUUGCUUUGGAGUUGGGUCAUGUGAUUAUUCUUCACCAGAUAGGGACAAAUUUUAAAAUCUCACCUUGGCUAAUACAUUUUAUAUCUGUUGUUCGCCAGAAAAAAUCAAUGAUAAUAUGGAUAAACUAAGUAGAAAUGUAAAUGUCUAAAUUGUUUAACAUAGUAAGAUAAUUAUCGGCAGGAAAACUGCCAUAACCAUUACAGAGAGACUUGUGCAUGCAAUUUCUUGUUAGGAAAUGAAAUGGAACUUUCAACAGUGCAUUGAGCUGCAUUUCUAAAAAAAGUUUUUAUUUUGUUCAUUCUGUACUUUCUUUGAUUCCUGUUUUCUCCCAGCAAUAAACAUUUCUCUGAACAUGCA